UCUCCUGUUUGGAGACAGAGGAGAAGAUACUAUUCAGGUGUUGUAGGGGAAGGCACAGCAGAGAAGUCCUUUCACACAUCAAGCAUGAGGAGGAUGUGAAACUGGCCCCAGCCUCCCAACAUCCCUGGGGAACUCUACCCAUCUGGGAGUGGGAGUAGACUGUGAGUGCAUGUCUUGGACCAGCUGCUAAUGCUGAAGUGCUGCAGAAGUCAAAUGAGCCUGGGAUGUCCCCAGCAAGUAACGGAUUACUCGAUGACUGAGGAAUGAUUCAAAAUCUGCCAUGGACCACACCCAUUGAGAAUAAUUGUGCUUUGCCAGUGGGAGAAAGUAUCUGCCACCAAACAAAACUAGUUUGUUGUAAGAGUAUGUGAAAAGCUUUAAAAAUAAAGCAUGUCUGGAAGGGCAGCAAAUGAGUAAUCCCUGCACCUGGAGGAUCCUCACAUGGCUGGUCAGGACAGCACAGGACCUACUGAAAUACCACAGCUUUCUGAAGCACCAGUUAGAGACAGGUUGUGCUCUUGUGGGGCACCCAGUGUGGCAAUAAUCAACUAUUUAUGGGUACCUUUUCUAACACACUGUUUCAGCCUCUCUUCCCUGCUGAUGAUCAUUCACUCACAGGAAACUCUCCUUUAAAUGAUCUUUCCUUGUCCGUAGACCUCAGAGGCUCUGCUAUACUAAUUGCUGUAUUGUAUUGGUGUGUACUGACCAAACAGAUAUUUAUGGGGGUGGAAAAAAAAUAAACCACAAAGAAAAAAAUAGCCUGGUAGGCCAGGACCAACAUGUUAACCCACACUUGUUAAUGUCUGCCCUCCACUGGUAAAUUCCUAAGCCCUGGUUUGCCAGAGGCUCUGAUCCAGUCUGCCUCUAGUGGAUCACCAGAUAAACUUAUUACCAAGAAUAGGACCGGUGACAAAUAGUGCAGGUUUCCUUUGAACAGUCAGUCAUCUCUGCCCUAGGAGUCAUCUCUGCAGCUUUGGGGAGUGACAAAUAUGAAGAAUGUGAAAUGUCAAAUAUGAAUGUGCCAUCACAGGUUUGUGAUACAACUAGGACAAAUGGAUGAGUCAAAAGUAAAUAUUCAUAUUUCGUUUGUAAACUCUGGGAUUUAAAUCUUCUAAAAUCUGAGUUCCAUUCAUCAUCAGCAAUAUGGUGAAAUUAUGGAUAUAAACAUUAUUUGGUCACUGAAAGGAAUAGAUAGACUCUGGAUUCUUAUUCUUUGUUUUUAAAGGCAUGAUACAACAAAUCUUCUGGAAAGGAAUCUCAGUUUAAAAAUCCCUCCUGGAUGCUAUAAUACCAAAGGGUGGAACCUGUGUCUGGAGUAAUAAGUACAUGCAGAACAUCAGCAUUUUAACAUUCAUACAAAAACUGCUGUUGAUAAGCCUGUACCAGUACAAUGGUAGCACAACUUCAUACCCCACACAGUUGCCCUUUGCAUCCCUUUAUUUACCGUUCGGGUUUCUGCAAUCUCAACAGCUGCUCAGAAUAAUGACAGCAUCAAGAAUUCAAUCUUAUUAUAGUGUUGCUUUGUAUUGCACAGAUUUGUGAGCUGCCACAUAGGCUGGAUUUCCCAAGGCUACAGGGUAUUAAGGGAGCUUGGUUUCAAAAGCCCAUAAAUAUAAAAAUAAAACUCAGGAAAAAUAAUCAGUUGCAAAAACAUGUUAUAUGAAUCUGGAAAAUGCAUUGAAUGCAAAAAUACUCCAAAAAAAAAAGAGGAAAAUCAGGCUAAAGAGAAGAUUGUUGUUUAACUUUAUUUCAGCCUUAGGUAAAUAGGUUUCAGCAAUGUCUUCCCAAGGUAUUUAAGAGCUCAUCGAAGAUCUGGAAGAGCACAUCCAUCUCUGCACUGAGCAGGAUAAAGUUAUUCCACCAUAAGUUUUCUCUUUUUCCUGAGAGCAAUGGCUCUUAUUCUUGUUGUGCUUCCUUAUCCCUUGCAUUAUAAUAUCUUUAACUUUUGUUUUGUCCCCGACGGUGUUUGUCAGCCAGCUGCUGGCCAAAGCUUUCGCUUCUGGAGGACAGCAAGCGUCCAGAUGCGUUAAAUGGAAGACGAAUGUGCUCCAUCUUCAAAUGCUGGUUCUAGAUAAGAGACCUCACUUGAAAGGCUGCUCUGUCUGAUGUGGAAAACUUUGAUCCAAAUUUCUCCCAAGGAUCUAGUUGUCCCAACAAGAGCAAACCCCAAGCGAACACUGCUUGGCUUUAUUUUUGAGGAUUCUCCUUUGACUGGUCAAAGAAACAUGAGAUCAGUUGCCUGUGUGAUGUUUUCCACCCAUCGGGAAUGGGAGAAACUAUCACACGGCUCAUCUUUGGUACUCAGACCCUGCAGCCAAAUUCUUGGCUGAGGUAAAUUUAUGGCAGUAAAAGAAUCAGCUCAUUGUUUCAAAUUA